GCGGGGGAGGGGGAGGGGGCGGCCGCGCGCAGGGCUUCCAAGCCCGAGGCCAGGCUGGAUAACGGGACCCGGAGGCCGAAAGCGGAGCUGGCCGACCUGGACUUUCUGAUUUUCCUGGUUCCCGAAUCCCCACAUCUCGACAACACAGCUCCAUCCCCAUCCCCGAGAACCUCGAUCUUUGACCCGCCAGUAGGGGGUCGGAACCGUAUACAGCGAGUGCAUUAGUGUCCACGCACAUCUGUCUGUGGAAUGUGUGCAUCCGCAUGUCCCGAGGGGCUACUGUGUCUCUAGGAUGGGAUUCUACAGUGUCUACUCAAGAAGUGUGAGGACCAGCUAGCUACCAUGCCCAGGAGAGGUUUGACUUCUGGCGGUUUCACCUCUGAUGGCUGCACAACCAAACACUGUGUAUGUGUGUGGCAUAUUUCUUGAAAAGCUUUCUUCAGAUCCUCUGCAUGUUCAUGUCUCGGAGAAGCGUCCGUGGGGAAGGAUUUGGCAUCGACAUCACAUCCUCCCAGCUUGCCCGUGUUGAAGAACUCCGUUUCUUUCAACCCAGGUCGCUAAUGCCUCUGUUGGAGAAUUGUUUUCCUCUCAAAACAACCAGGGGAUGAGCUGAACUGGUAACUCAGGCUUCCAUGGGCUUCCGGUAGCCCUCUAUGCAGCCUGGCACCCCAACUUUCCACCAGCCGGAAGAAAGCUACACUCCUCAGCCUGAGGCAGGUGCUUUCUUCCAGGCCAUCUUCUACCUUCCUGAAGUGCCUUCUCCUGGUCCUUUGGUCCCUUCCUUUGUCUCAGCUGCAUGUGCAAGAUUUUAUAGAAAGUAAAGACAAUCCUUCCAUUACCAGGGUAUGCAGGGCCCUGGAGGAUGUAUUGUUGGAAUUCUGUGGCUUUCUUUCCUUUAAGAAUGUACAG
rnacentral:lncRNA from 1 species